AUUGAACGCUGGCGGCAGGCCUAACACAUGCAAGUCGAACGAGUGGCGGACUGGUUAGUAAUGUCUGGGAAACUGCCUGAUGGAGGGGGAUAAAUACUGGAAACGGUAGCUAAUACCGCAUACCAUCGGAUGUGCCCCGAUGGGAUUAGCUAGUAGGUGGGGUAAAGUCUCCCCUAGGCGAUGAUCCCUAGCUGGUCUGAGAGGAUGACCAGCAACUCUGGAACUGAGACACGGUCCAGACUCCGACGUGAGGCAGCAGUGGGGAAUAUUGCACAAUGGGCGCACGCCUGAUGCAGCCAUGCCGCGUGUAUGAAGAAGGCCUUCGGGUUGUAAAGUACUUUCAGCGGGGAGGCGUUACCCGCAGAAGAAGCACCGGCUAACUCCGUGCCAGCAGCCGCGGUAAUUC
rnacentral:rRNA from 1 species